GGUUGUUUUAACUAUAAUACAAAUGGUACGGAUAUUCACCAAUAAUAUUUUGGUUGAUUUGGCCAAUUUUUUUAGUUAUAACAACCAGUAAAUAACAGUCAAAGUCGGAGUACGAAACAUCGCGCACUUUCGUUGGUUAAAUGAUGUUGCGUCAACUGAAUAAGAUACGCUAAAACGAAAUAGCUAAACAAUAAUUCUGCAGGCAAUUAAUCAUCCAAGUACGCUAUAAUCAAACAAUAUUAUGAACUGUAUAUAAAAAUAUAUUUUGUAACAUCUAAAAUUACAGUAAGUACACAGUAGUACGUAUAGUGUUACUAUAGCCUGUGUUCCAGUUGACUACACUGUUACUGACACACAGGCUAGAGAGUUGCAUGGUUUUGUCAAGUAUUAUAUAUUAUCAUGAAAUCAUGGCUAAGCACUUAAGUGCUUAGCAUUAAUUAGAUCGCGAUCACCAUGCAACCCCGGCCUGUUUGUGCAUUCUCAAUCUCUCAUUAUUAUAAUAUGUUACAACAAUCGAUCGCCAUAUAAUCUUAGUUCUAGCUUGUGUUCUAUAGUUCACCGAUUGGCAGAGUUUGACCAAUCCUUCCCAGCAGAAUAUGCUCGAGGAACAUUGCCAAGGCUAUUGAGGUAUUCGGCAUUAAGAACAAAAUACCGUAAACCUCCGACUAUAC